rnacentral:rRNA from 1 species
UACGUAGGGCGCAAGCGUUGUCCGGAAUUAUUGGGCGUAAAGAGCUCGUAGGCGGUUUGUCGCGUCUGCCGUGAAAGUCCGGGGCUCAACUCCGGAUCUGCGGUGGGUACGGGCAGACUAGAGUGAUGUAGGGGAGACUGGAAGUUCCUGGUGUAGCGGUGAAAUGCGCAGAUAUCAGGAGGAACACCGAUGGCGAAGGCAGGUCUCUGGGCAUUAACUGACGCUGAGGAGCGAAAGCAUGGGGAGCGAACAGG